UCUCCAGCCCCGAGCGCCAGGAGGGCUGCAGCUCCUCGCGUGGCUGGGGGUGGGGCGCUCCUGGCUGCGGGAACCCCCCUCCUCCACGGGACGGACCCCGACCCUGCGCGGCUCGCCCAGCUCUCCGCAGGCUUCUUUUCCGUUCUAGAAUCUUCUCCGUUCCCAGCCUGCGUUCUCUCGCCCGACUCUAAUUGCGUGAGUUUCACGAAGCAACAGCUUUGAGCUGGAGGAAAAUCAUUCGGAGGAAGGAAGCGCGCGGGUCCGAAUCGUCUCCAAACAGCCCCCGCCGCCACAUUUGUCUCCCCCUCCAAAAAAAGAAAAAAGCAAAAACCUUUAAGCAGCAGCAGACGUAGGCUCCCGCAGCGUCCGAAGCCUUUCAGAGGAAGCCCGAGCCCGGCUGCCCCCACAGCCUGCUGGCCCCCACAGCACCCUCGCCUCCUCUUUGGGCUGCUUUGCGCGCGCCGCCCCCCACCUUUUCUGUCCGCCACCCCCUGCCCCCAGCCUCUCCCCCACACACUGGCAGGAUUUCCCUAGGUCUUCCUGGGACUUCCGAACGCGACUGUUUUAAUUUUGUCAACUUGCUCUGCAUUUUCUACGAGGUGUGGUCUUGGAGAGGAUCUUUUAGGUCCCUCCAGUGGAGGCGAAUCUGGGACCCCGGCCCUUUAUCUGUAAGAAGCUAGCCCUCGGAUUGCAGAGGCGUCGCGCCAGUCGUGCAGAGCUUUGCAAGGGGGAAGACGCAGCGGGCUGCGCUCGGCGCGGUGGUGGACCCAGUGGCGCUCACGCGGGGAGCCGACGCAGGACCCGGAGCUGCGCCGGCCCGACCUGCCCGCCCGCGGUGGGCUCGGGUCCCCGCCCCGGUGCGCAGGGUGCAGUGGGCUGCGUGAAGUCGCAGGCUCCACGCCGCCCUCCGCGCGCCCUGCUCGGGGAUUUCGUUGAGAAAAUCGAGCAGACGUGGACGAGAGGGUUGGGGGGGGGGGGGGUUAUGAAAAAUGGGAACCUGCGCAAAUUUCUCGCCAAAAGUGCACAUCGGUGAAUCUGGCGCCGCCUUGCAAACACCGACGGGGCAAACAAGAUCUAUGGUGUUUUGUUUUUUGUUUUUUUUUUAAGGUGCAAAGCCAAAGGCGCAUUACCUCCUCUCUUACCUGCUCUGCCUUCCUGGCUUCCCUCCACAGAUCUUACACUUUUCUUUAAUGGUUUUUAUUCAGUGCGGCAAGUUUUAAUGAAAGCAUAUGCAUCUUAAGCUUGAGUCACAACAAUAGAUUUAUUGCGAGGUGACAGCGUGUCAACAGCAUAUUUUCAGAAAUGAGCGACAGGAUUAUCCUCCAGUCGCGCCUGGAUUAAGGGCAACCACGGAAAUGGGCACCCGAGGUGCGGGCGCGACUCCUGCGUGCCGAACACACAUGCUUACCGUCACAUGACCACUGCCCAUUAAAAUAUUGUGAUACCUAAACACUGUUGCAGAAACCAAAGUUGCUUUUCUUCUCUGUAAUUAAAUCUAAUUUGUUAAUCGUC